rnacentral:rRNA from 1 species
UACGGAGGAUCCAAGCGUUAUCCGGAAUCAUUGGGUUUAAAGGGUCCGUAGGCGGUCAGGUAAGUCAGUGGUGAAAGCCCAUCGCUCAACGGUGGAACGGCCAUUGAUACUGCCAGACUUGAAUUAUUAGGAAGUAACUAGAAUAUGUAGUGUAGCGGUGAAAUGCUUAGAUAUUACAUGGAAUACCAAUUGCGAAGGCAGGUUACUACUAAUGGAUUGACGCUGAUGGACGAAAGCGUGGGUAGCGAACAG